UACCAGCACCCCGAGUGGUCGGGACGAUUAUUGGGCCUAAAGCAUCCGUAGCCGGUUCUACAAGUCUUCCGUUAAAUCCACCUGCUUAACAGAUGGGCUGCGGAGGAUACUAUAGAGCUAGGAGGCGGGAGAGGCAAGCGGUACUUAGUGGGUAGGGGUAAAAUCCGUUGAUCCAUUGAAGACCACCAGUGGCCGGAAGGCGGCUUGCCAGA
rnacentral:rRNA from 1 species